GACGAACGCUGGCGGCGUGCUUAACACAUGCAAGUCGAACGGAAAGGCCCUGCUUUUGUGGGGUGCUCGAGUGGCGAACGGGUGAGUAACACGUGAGUAACCUGCCCUUGACUUUGUGAUAACUUCAGGAAACUGGGGCUAAUACCGGAUAGGAGCUCCUGCUGCAUGGUGUGGGUUGGAAAGUUUCGGCGGUUGGGGAUGGACUCGCGGCUUAUCAGCUUGUUGGUGGGGUAGUGGCUUACCAAGGCUUUGACGGGUAGCCGGCCUGAGAGGGUGACCGGCGACAUUGGGACUGAGAUACGGCCCAGACUCCUACGGGAGGCAGCAGUGGGGAAUAUUGCACAAUGGGAGGAAGCCUGAUGCAGCAACGCCGCGUGCGGGAUGACGGCCUUCGGGUUGUAAACCGCUUUCGCCUGUGACGAAGCGUGAGUGACGGUAAUGGGUAAAGAAGCACCGGCUAACUACGUG
rnacentral:rRNA from 1 species